rnacentral:rRNA from 1 species
CGGGUGAGGAACGCGUAGGUAAUCUACCGUUUGCGGGGGACAACACUCCGAAAGGAAUGCUAAUACCGCGUAAGACCACACUCACUAAGGUGAGAGUGGUAAAAGGUGCCUCAAAGCACCACCAGACGAUGAGCCUGCGUCCCAUCAGCUUGUUGGUAAGGUAACGGCUUACCAAGGCGAAGACGGGUAGCUGGUCUGAGAGGAUGAUCAGCCACACUGGUACUGGAACACGGACCAG